UACGGGGGGGGUAAGCGUUGUUCGGAAUUACUGGGCGUAAAGCGUGCGCAGGCGGUUUUGUAAGACAGAUGUGAAAGCCCCGGGCUCAACCUGGGAAUGGCAUUUGGGACUGCAAGGCUUGAGUGCGGCAGAGGAGACUGGAAUUCCUGGUGUAGCAGUGAAAUGCGUAGAUAUCAGGAGGAAUACCGAUGGCGAAGGCAGGUCUCUGGGCUGACACUGACGCUCAUGCACGAAAGCGUGGGGAGCAAACAGG
rnacentral:rRNA from 1 species